AGCAAGUACAUGUAGGUUUAUUAUAGGUCAAAAAUAUGGAGGAAAGACAUCAAAUACAUUCAGAAAGAGACAACUUUUAACUUCUUUAAUAACACAUUCAAAAUUUUAACAUGAGGAGGAUUCACUACUUUAAUUAACUUUAAACACAAUUUUAAGAACAAAAGACCACACACUGGUCAAAACAUUUAGAAAUUCAAUGGGUAUGAAGUAACAAUAGAGUGGAAAACCUUACAACAACUGAAUUCAGUAUGCUCAUUGUACAGCUGACCAAACUAAAGGCCAAGGCAACUGGAAUAUAACAAUCCACAUGUGAUUUUGAAAAUGACAGAAACUACCUCGGUUAUGAGAAAUGCAGGUUGACUGCUUUAGGGGAAUGUAAUCCUCAAAUUAGAAUUUUCCACUGUA
rnacentral:lncRNA from 1 species